UAGAAAUGUGAACUUUGCAAGCUACUGGUAGAAACGUGACCUUUGCAAGCUACUGGUAGAAACGUGAACUUUGCAAGCUACCGGUAGAAAUGUGAACAUAGUGGUAAGUAGACCUAAUGUACUUUUUUUCUCAAACUAAUGUGGGCCUACCUAGCGACUUUAGCUAACAUUAUUCUUUCAUUAUCGUGAUUGUGUUUAAGCACAAUUGCUGCUGAUAGACAUGGUAGACAGGAUAGGCUACAUAGAUUGAUGGACCACGUCAGACAAAACAGACAAUAUCAACAGAGGUAAACAGACAAAAUCAACAGACGUAAACAGACUACAUCAACAGAGGUAAACAGACAAAAUCAACAGAGGUAAACAGACAAACUCAACGGAGGUAAACAGACUAAAUCAACAGAGGUAAACAGACAAACUCAACAGAGGUAAACAGACUAAAUCAACGGAGGUAAACAGACUAAAUCAACAGAGGUAAACAGACUAAAUCAACAGAGGUAAACAGACAAACUCAACAGAGGUAAACAGACUAAAUCAACAGAGGUAAACAGACUAAAUCAACAGAGGUAAACAGACUAAAUCAACAGAGGUAAACAGACUAAAUCAACAGAGGUAAACAGACAAGGGAAAGAUAUCCCUCUGUGAUGCAUGAUAAUACUAAUCAACAGAGGUAACAGAAUCAUGACAAUAUCCAUCAUUUUAUUUCCAUUCCUUCCUGCUGCAACACAGCCAAUCAGAUGCCAACGCCUCCUCCGGCUAACUUCCUCCACUGAUGUCUUAAUAUGAUUGACUGUCCUGAUAAACUUCUCUACAUCUGGAAAAAGAUCCUGUAUGUCAAUCUUCUUACCAAAUGAAUCCUCCUAAAGAAACUUGUCAACAUGCUGUUAUCUGUACAGUGAACCUGAAUGUGACUCACCGUGAGAUGUUACAUCCGUCAACUUGUCAAUCUGUUCCAACAUUCCUCUGUCCUCA
ensembl:lncRNA